UACAGAGGUCUCGAGCGUUGUUCGGAUUCAUCGGGCGUAAAGGGUGCGUAGGUGGCACCGUAAGUCGGGUGUGAAAUCCUGAGGCUUAACCUCGGAACUGCAUUCGAUACUGCGGUGCUUGAGGACUGGAGAGGAGACUGGAAUUCAUGGUGUAGCAGUGAAAUGCGUAGAGAUCAUGGAGGAAGACCAGUGGCGAAGGCGGGUCUCUGGACAGUUCCUGACACUGAGGCACGAAGGCCAGGGGAGCAAACGGG
rnacentral:rRNA from 1 species